GUGGUGUCGUCUGCGCGUCGCUGUAUGGAUUAUAUAUCGGCGUCGCGUUAAAAUAAUAGUAUUUCAACAUAUAUUGUUGGUUAUAAGCAGUCGUUGUGCGUUAUCCUUUCGU
rnacentral:misc_RNA from 1 species